rnacentral:lncRNA from 1 species
ACUUCAGUGGCUGUGCCUGUGGUCUGCAGUUUGGGUCUGGAAUCAAGUCUCCUAUUGUUGCAGGCCUUUGACGCUCAUCCUGACUCCUGACUGAUGAAUUAUUUGGUCGACUGAGGCAGAAUCACCUUUACUGGAGCAUAAUCUGUUGGAGGCAGCAUCUCCUGAAGUCUCCAUGAGUUGCUGGAAUGAAGAAAUGUGUCAUAUGUGAACCAAAACACAUGUAAAAAUUGUUGACAAUAGCACCAUUUGUAAAAGACUAAAACUGGAAACCACCAAAUGAUCAGCAACAGAGAAUAAAAAAUUAUGGCUUAUUUCUACAAUGGAUUGCUAUGCUGCAGUAAGAAUGAAUGAACAGCAGCUACACACAACCGGUAUGGAUGAAUCUCAUGAACACAAUGUGAAGGGAAAGAAGGCAGAAACAUACUUAUCACACCCUCCAUUUAUAUAAAACUCAGAGACAAAACAAAUUUAUGGUGUUAGGAGUCAGGUUCCUUUGGGGAAGAGAGAGGGAGUAGUACCUGAAUGGAGGGGGCAUGGAGGGGGCUUCGGGCAUGCUGGUAAGAUUUUUGUUUUGUUUUUAAUCUGAGUGAUAUAGGUGGUAGUUACUUUUUGAUGUUACAUCGAGCUGUACACUUAUGAUCUGUUCA